rnacentral:rRNA from 1 species
CCUGACUGCUAUCGGAUUGAUACUAAGCCAUGCGAGUCAUUGUAGCAAUACAAGGCAUACUGCUCAGUAACACGUGGAUAACCUGCCCUACACUGGGGGAUAAUCUCGGGAAACUGAGCAUAAUACCCCAUAGACCACUACGCCUGGAACGGUGAGUGGUUGAAAGCUUCGGCGGUGUAGGAUGGGUCUGCGGCGUAUCAGGUUGUAGGGGGUGUAAUGGACCUCCUAGCCAUCGACGCGUACGGGUUGUGGGAGCAAUAGCCCGGAGACGGAUUCUGAGACACGAAUCCGGACCCUACGGGGUGCAGCAGGCGCGAAAACUUCACACUGCAGGAAACUGUGAUGAGGGAACUCCAAGUGACUGCACAAUGUGUAGCCUUUUCUUGAAUUUUAAUAGUUCUUGGAAUAAGGGCUGGGAAAGACCGGUGCCAGCCGCCGCGGUAAUACCGGCAGCUCGAGUGGUCGUCGCUUUUAUUGGGCCUAAAACGUCCGUAGCCUGUUUGGUAAAUCUGUGGGUAAAUCAAUCCGCUUAACGGAUUGAAUUCUGCAGAGACUGCCAGACUAGGGACCGGGAGAGGUAUGAGGUACUCUGGGGGUAGGGGUAAAAUCCUGUCAUCCUCAGAGGACCACCUGUUGCGAAGGCGUCAUACUGGAACGGAUCCGACGGUCAGGGACGAAGCCUAGGGGCACGAACCGGAUUAGAUACCCGGGUAGUCCUAGGUGUAAACGCUGUGGAUUUGGUGUGUGGGGUCCGCAAUGGGCCCCAUGUGCCGGAGUGAAGAUGUUAAAUCCACUGCCUGGGGAGUACGGUCGCAAGGCUGAAACUUAAAGGAAUUGGCGGGGGAGCACCACAAGGGGUGAAGCCUGCGGUUCAAUUGGAGUCAACGCCAGAAAUCUUACCCGGAGAGACAGCAGAAUGAAGGUCAAGCUGAAGACUUUACCAGACAAGCUGAGAGGUGGUGCAUGGCCGUCGCCAGCUCGUGCCGUGAGAUGUCCUGUUAAGUCAGGUAACGAGCGAGAUCCCUGCCUCUAGUUGCCACCAUUACUCUCAGGAGUAGUGGGGCGAAUUAGCGGGACCGCCGCAGUUAAUGCGGAGGAAGGAAGGGGCCACGGCAGGUCAGUAUGCCCCGAAACUCUGGGGCCACACGCGGGCUGCAAUGGUAACGACAAUGUGUUCCGAAUCCGAAAGGAAGAGGUAAUCCUCAAACGUUACCACAGUUAUGACUGAGGGCUGCAACUCGCCCUCACGAAUAUGGAAUCCCUAGUAACUGCGUGUCAUUAUCGCGCGGUGAAUACGUCCCUGCUCCUU